rnacentral:rRNA from 1 species
UACGUAGGUGGCAAGCGUUGUCCGGAUUUAUUGGGUUUAAAGGGUGCGUAGGCGGCCCUAUAAGUCAGUGCUGAAAUAUCCCGGCUUAACCGGGAGGGUGGCAUUGAUACUGUAGGGCUUGAGUGUAGUCGAGGUAGGCGGAAUUGACGGUGUAGCGGUGAAAUGCUUAGAUAUCGUCAAGAACACCGAUAGUGUAGAUAGCUUACUGGGCUACAACUGACGCUGAGGCACGAAAGUGUGGGGAUCAAACAGG